AUUGAAUGCUGGCGGCGUGCCUAAUACAUGCAAGUCGAGCGGACGAAUUUUGGUGCUUGCACCAAAUUUUCGUUAGCGGCGGACGGGUGAGUAACACGUGGGUAACCUGCCCUACAGUCUGGGAUAACUUCGGGAAACCGAGGCUAAUACCGGAUAAUACUUUUUAACACAUGUUAAAAAGUUGAAAGAUGGUUUUGCUAUCACUGUAGGAUGGACCCGCGGCGCAUUAGCUAGUUGGUGAGGUAACGGCUCACCAAGGCAACGAUGCGUAGCCGACCUGAGAGGGUGAUCGGCCACACUGGGACUGAGACACGGCCCAGACUCCUACGGGAGGCAGCAGUAGGGAAUCUUCCACAAUGGGCGAAAGCCUGAUGGAGCAACGCCGCGUGAGUGAAGAAGGAUUUCGGUUCGUAAAACUCUGUUGCAAGGGAAGAACGAGUAGCGUAGUAACUGGCGCUACCUUGACGGUACCUUGUUAGAAAGCCACGGCUAACUACGUGCCAGCAGCCGCAGUAAAAC
rnacentral:rRNA from 1 species